GUGGAGCCAGGGCUAGGGAGUUCUUAGUUAUUGGGGCAGAAUUCAGAAGCUGGAAGUUGGGAAAGCAAGCAGAUGAGAGUUAGCAUUUAUGCUGAAUCCAGAAUCAAAGAAUGAUACUCUUGGACUCCUCUCAUGGUCCAGUGGUUAAGAAUCCACCUGCCUAUGCAGAGGACAUAGGAUUGAUCCCUGCUCCAGGAAGAUUCCACAUGCCACAGGACAACUAAGCCUGACUGAACCAGCACUCUAGAGCAUGUACUCUGCAACAAGACAAGCCACCAAAAUGAGAAGCCUCUGCACCGCAUCUAGAGAGCAGCUCCCUCUUGCCCAACUGGAUAAAGCCCAUGUGGAGCAAUGAACAUAGAGUGAAGCCAAAAGUAAAAUUAAGAAAAAAAAAGAAUGAUACUCUUAAUCUCAAGAUAUUAAGAAAAGUAUUAUGAGUGAUUUGUAAAAUGCCAUGGCAAAGGCAUAUUUCUGUAUUCCAAGAAUAAUGAUGCAGAAAUUACUUCAGGUUUAUAGAAGUGGAUUUGACUUUUAUUUAAAACUAAUCAGAGAAAACAAUGAUUUUUGGAAACAUUGACUCUGCUUGGUUACAUCUUCUUAUCUGAAAAUGGGGUAACACACUACUCAUAUGCCAAAGUUAAGGAGGUAAGUAUAUGAAAAGGUAUUAUGAAUUCUGAGUGCAAAUUAUUAU
rnacentral:lncRNA from 1 species